rnacentral:rRNA from 1 species
UACGUAGGGGGCAAGCGUUGUCCGGAAUCAUUGGGCGUAAAGAGCGUGUAGGCGGUUCGGUAAGUCGGCUGUGAAAGUCCAGGGCUCAACCCUGGGAUGCCGGUCGAUACUGCCGGACUAGAGUUCGGAAGAGGCGAGUGGAAUUCCCGGUGUAGCGGUGAAAUGCGCAGAUAUCGGGAGGAACACCUAUGGCGAAGGCAGCUCGCUGGGACGUUACUGACGCUGAGGAGCGAAAGCGUGGGGAGCGAACAGG